rnacentral:rRNA from 1 species
GCAGUCGCCGCGGUAAUACGUAGGGUGCGAGCGUUAAUCGGAAUUACUGGGCGUAAAGCGUGCGCAGGCGGUUUUGUAAGACAGGCGUGAAAUCCCCGGGCUCAACCUGGGAAUGGCGCUUGUGACUGCAAAGCUAGAGUGCGGCAGAGGUGGAUGGAAUUCCGCGUGUAGCAGUGAAAUGCGUAGAUAUGCGGAGGAACACCGAUGGCGAAGGCAAUCCCCUGGGCCUGCACUGACGCUCAUGCACGAAAGCGUGGGGAGCAAACAGGAUUAGAUACCCCCGUAGUCCCUGUCUCUUAUAC